rnacentral:misc_RNA from 1 species
GUGAAUCAUCAAAUUUUUGAACGCAAAUUGCACUUUCUUGGGAGAGUAAGCCUGUUUGAGGGUCAGCGUAUAAAAAUUGAAAUUGUGGCUGUUUGGUGGCGGUGUUCGUGGGAAGUUGGGUUAUAUUAAAUUUUUCUGAUUUAAGUGAUUUAAAAUUUUUUUUUGGUUUUAUGAACGUAUUUAAGUUGUUUACUUUCAUAUGUUUUAGGUAUUGAUUUUUACUAGAGGUGAUCAUCAUAUCGGACUGCGAUCAUAAUUUUUUAUCA